CAGGACUUUGGCUGAGAGCAACUAUUGGCAUGGCAAUGUGAAGAAGGAUCUUGUCUUGGAGCUGUAGCAAUAUUAAAUAGAGUGAGUGCAGGAACAAAGCCAGAGGUUUGUCUUUCUUUUUUUUGUUUUGUUAUGUUUUUUUUUCUUCCUGUUUUUUUUUUUUUUUUCUUUUUUUCUUCUUGCAGGAGCUGCAGUUCAAUUUCAUUUGGGAUGUUUCAUGGAAAGGCAAUGAAUAAAUGAUGAAUAAAUCAGAGAGAGCAAUGCAAACUGACCUAGGCUGGAGGAAAGAGGAACUGGAAAGGAAAUCUUUCCUAUUUUCUGAUGGGUCAAGGCCUCCUCACCAUCUGAAGUCCAUGCGCUGCUUUACUUUCCAAAUCUGGAUCCAGAGAAGCCAAAUUAAACGAUUCACUGCACACCUUGCUUUGUAUUUGGCAUCAGGAUGCAGCUGUACUGACUCUUUCCAAGCAGAGCUCGGUCACGGAUGCGAUGUCGGGAGCUGUGGAGGCUGUGCCUGCGAGGAGGGCAGUCUGGGGGGCCUCUGAGCUCCUUGGAGCACGGAUUUCCCAUCUGUUGUUGCUCUGGGAAGGGAACUCCAUUGCUGUUCUCCACAUGUGUACAAGGAUCUGCUGCUUCUUGUCAGUUUUUUCUGGCUGACCACCUCCAUGCCUGAGGAGGCCCAGGGGUGGCAGGGACCUGCACUCGACUAUGUUCAUGAGGACAAUCUCCCUUAGCUUUGCCCAUCUGGCUUUGUACAAACCUCUUUUCCCUCCCAGGCACUUGUGAGGAUUUUGGCUGAGCUGGAGCUAAGGCAAUGGCAGAAUGUUUGACUUUUUGGUACCAGGUUCAUAACAGGAGAUUCCCCAGUCCCUCACUGCAGUCUCAUAUCUCUCCUUGCUGUUCCACAGCAGGCUAUCUCCAGACGUGGAGGGAGACACUUCAGUACUGCCUCUGCUCCUUGUAGAUCUGAGCUGACCUCAACAUUUUUCUCCUCAGCAUGCAUUGAGAUGUAUGUCUAGAAAUCAAUGACUGCCCCAUGCCUCCCUUAUCUGGGAUCUCAGCCUAACCUUGGUCUAUAAAUCACUUGCGUUAAACUGUUCCUCAUAAAUAGCAGCUUCCAGCAUGUCUUCUUUCAUCUGUUGCUUGUAUUUGUGUGUGAGAGGCAGAAAACAGGUCUAAUUUACAUCGCUCCAGCUGGCUCCUCUGAUCUGCCACCUGGAGACUCAGCCAACUGGGAAUGUGUGUCUGAAAAGGGGCCAGACUUCUGCUUCCUCUGGCUGUGCCUAUCUCUACACUGACCCCUCAGGAACCUGCUGGACCCACCUACAGUUGGUGUUGUGGACCACAAGAAGGAUGUACUUGUCCAAGCACUGCAGCAGACUCCAGCAAUCCUAUUCCAAAACUCGCAGUGCAGAGAUUUAAGUGAAUUUAUGGAGAAAGACCAGGAAAAUGGCUCACGCAUUGGUAGGAUGGAGUGGCAGGGGGGGGGCA
rnacentral:lncRNA from 1 species